rnacentral:tRNA from 1 species
GGCUGAUUUGGUAGAUGAAUUCAAAAACUCUUAGUCGCUUGGGCGGAUUGCAAAUCCGUGUACACUGGUUCGAAUCCAGUACUCGCCUCCA